GAGAUCAAAUUACAGUUUUUAAGUUAGUGGUGCUGAAGCAGAAGUUUUCCUCUCUUAACCAGUAUUCAAAUCCCAAGCAAGGUAUUUCCAGUGCCAAGACACAUUAGGUAGAAUUUUAAAAUGAGUGGCAUCCCUAUAUUGUGUCAUACAGUUGUAAAGUUAGCACCAACUACCAACCAUUCUUCACUCACCGAGUGCUCUGCACUGUAAGAAGGGCUAGAGGUGGGCAGUCGUCAGGGGAGAUAGAGCGGGCUGCAGGAGCCUCAUCUGCCAGGCACACACUUACCAUGAGACAAUACAGACAGCUUGAUAGAGACCCAGAAUUUCCAUUGAGCUAGUAUCUGAGCUAUGGAAUAGCUUCUUUGAUGUACCUCUUUGCCUUCGAUUGCUUUUAGUUUUAAGACUGUAGAAUGAUCCUUUAAAAUUGUAAUCUUUUCUAAUAGAGAUAUUUUAAUAUACUUGCUUUUUUAAAAAACAAAAACUACUGUCAGUAUAAUACUGAGCCAGACUGGCAUCUACAGAUUUACGACCUAUCAUUUCAUCAAGAUUCUCACCCCCAUACUAAAAGCUAGCUAAUAUCAUGGCCUUUGGAUACAUAUGAGAUGUGUUUACUGUCAUUCCAUUGGCCUUCCAUCUGCCUGUAGAUCCAUCAUUUUAGGGCCUAAAAUAUGCUAGGGACUAACAUGCUAGGCAUUACGAUAUGAAAAAGGCUGUCCCUAACCUCAUUAAGUAUUCAAAAUGCCAUUAUUACUCAUUAGGUUCAACUUAUCUCAUUUUUAACAUCAUAAGUACAUGUCUAGAAAAUUUCUAUUUUAAGCACUAUUGUUUUUCAUGAAAUUAAAAGGUUAAAUAUUCUCACUUAUUCCUUAUAUAAAUAUUCCUCCCCCCUUAAUCACUCCUAAACACUCUCAAAUA
rnacentral:lncRNA from 1 species